rnacentral:rRNA from 1 species
AGGGAAGGCGUAGCGAAAGCGAGUCUUAAUAGGGCGAAUUAGUCGCUGGGUAUAGACCCGAAACCGGGCGAUCUAUCCAUGAGCAGGUUGAAGGUUAGGUAACACUGACUGGAGGACCGAACCCACUUCCGUUGAAAAGGCAGGGGAUGACUUGUGGAUCGGAGUGAAAGGCUAAUCAAGCUCGGAGAUAGCUGGUUCUCCUCGAAAGCUAUUUAGGUAGCGCCUCACGUAUCACUCCAGGGGGUAGAGCACUGUUUCGGGCUAGGGG